rnacentral:lncRNA from 1 species
CUUUGCUAGAACGGGUCCUCAACCUGAGGGAAAUCAGUGGUUGUGCACUGACCCCUCGUGGAUACAACCAGUAGGCUACUGUCACAGAAACGAGGAAAACAUGAAUGAAAGCAGUGCGCAGUUCAGGCCUACUUGAUGAAGAAAUCAGAGACGCGCGUUGUCAUGGCAUUCGGCAUUUAUGACGUAAUGAUAAAGUAGACAGCAAUGUUCUAUAUCAAUUUAGCGCCAUUCGCGACACCAUCUUUGUCGCUUUCUCCCAAAUUCCCAUUUCUGAUCGGGUUCUAUCAUCUGAGUCGUCUGCGGUCCAAAAUUAUUAUUUUACGUGCGAGUGUUAUAUAAGAUCAGUUAUUUUGGACUACAUCAAAUCUACCAUCAAGGGAAAGUAUGGAGACUCCGGAAAGUGACCAGUUCAAUUCUACUCAGGAAAUGCAGUGUCCAUCAAUUGUGGGCAGGCGAAGUGUGGAGAUGAAAAGUGUCGCGGAGGAGUUCUUCUGUCUCACUGAUGAGACGGACCAAGGGAGGAUGAGUGUGUCAACACGUGGAGCCAGUAUGAGGAGCAGCCACACUCCUGGACACGGCAAACGGAGUGAAUCUGUGCUGCGCAGGACUGUGACCUUGGAUUAUAAUGAUGGUGAUGACUGUGAUGAUACAGAGGGAAUCGCUGAACAUGCAACAAAACCAGAAGUCACAGAAGAAUGGAUGUCAGUCAUGGGGGCAAAACUCCCAGAGUUACCAGUUCAUAAAAAUAUCUCAAGAACGAAAUGUGAGUCACCAAAAGAAUAUAUCGAGCUCCAAAGUGAUAAAGGGAUGAGUGUACCAGAAACGCAGACAAGGAUGAAAGAUCAGGCCAAGAUACUGUUACCACUAAAGCCUUUCAGUGAGGGAUAUGAGGCUGCAUUCCUCAGGGACAGAAUGCGAAGGCUCUGCAGAAGAUCAGGACCUCCUUUCUUGCUGUUCUCCCCUACGGAAAGCCUGGGGGACAUACUGUACAGGAAAACCAAGCAUGUGUUUGACUACACAGUCACGGACAUGAAAGACAAAAAGCCCGAGAAGGGUACAAUCAAUUGAUCAGAUGACGGUGAUCAGAAAAGAUCAUGUCGGUAGGCCUUUACUGAUGCUGAAAGGCAAUGCAAGUCUAACCAACAGUGAUGGAAGCAACAACACGGAUUCAUUUGCUUAUUCAUCCAGACUCACAAAGGGAAAACCAUCAACCUCCUCUCAGCCAGGACCUGUCAUCAGGAUCCCACCAGUAUUAACCAGGAAGCAUUCUGACAUCAUCAGAGAGGAAAGAAAGAGGCACUACUACAAAGACCUGUGUCAGCAGGUGGAGGAGAAGAGACAACAAAAAGCAAGGGAGAGGAGAAGGAUUACCGCCGCCGAACAAACUCACAAUGAGACAAUGCAGUUCUGCACCUGGGGGAUGCCAGGGAGCGGAGCCCCAAACUACCACCUGGACUCUGUGAGAAGGAACAAGUUCAGUUCCACAGAAAUGAUACCCCAGGAACAGCUCCGCUGUAAAGGCUUCAGCGGGAUCCCUUUUCAUCUGCAUGUCAAAUGACGGCCAUUUUAUGGUCCCCCAGCCCAGACGAUUGAUGCUCAGCUCAGACAACUGAUAAACCCAUUAAACUAACGCAGUAGUAGACCAAACACUGCGCUCUGCUGACUUCUGUCCCAUAGGUGGUAGAUAAGUCAUCGAUUAGCUGGAUUUCAGCACUCCUUGGCACUUGUAUCUAUUGAUUAAUUUACUGUUUCAAACUACCAUGCGGGCAUAACCACACUCAAAACAAUUCUGGAACUAAGGUUUUACACAUUCUGAUGGUGUUCAAAUCAGUUGUAAUGGUAGCGAUGCACAUAAACAGUAAGAUAUAUAUAUAUAUAUAUAUAUCAUACACACACAUAAAUGCUACAGUGGUAAUUGACAGAUCGAUAGCAUGGUGAGAUAAUGAAUAGAAACAGUAGCUCACUAAAGAUAAGACUGUACACAAAAAAAAGCUCCUAACUGGUCGCGAAAGUGAUAAGAUACUGUCUGCCUACAGUCAAAGAAUUCUUCUUUUUUUUUUCAUCAUAUUUUAACCAUUUUAUAUGAGUAAUUUUGUAUGUAUAUUGAAGCCAGAGUUGUAGUGAAAUAAAACUCUCCUGUCAGAUUAAGAGACUGGGUGAAAAAAAUUGAUAAAGUCUCAAUGUCAUUGCUUUGUAGGUGAAGUGAUGUGGAAAUCUAUCCUCUGAUACUGACCUGAUAUUUGGGUUGAAUGAUUCACUAAGAAACAAUGGGUAGUGUAACUAUAGUAUUUACAAAAAGCUUUUCAACAUGAGGACCGAUGCACAAACAAGCACUGAUACAGUAAGCCGCUCUUCAGGUGGCCACUAACAUUUGUAUAUACAAUGUACCACAAUGAUGACAUAACAUGCGACUAUAGGUAUUUUC